CAUAUCAAUAAGCGGAGGAAAAGAAGACUAACAAGGAUUCCCCUAGUAACGGCGAGUGAAGCGGGAAGAGCUCAAAUUUGAAAUCUAGUAGCCUUCGGCUGCUCGAGUUGUAAUCUAGAGAAGUGUUUUCCGUGCCGGCCCAUGUACAAGUCCCUUGGAACAGGGCGUCAUAGAGGGUGAGAAUCCCGUCCUUGACAUGGACCCCCGGUGCUCUGUGAUACACUUUCAACGAGUCGAGUUGUUUGGGAAUGCAGCUCAAAAUGGGUGGUGAAUUCCAUCUAAAGCUAAAUAUUGGCGAGAGACCGAUAGCGAACAAGUACCGUGAGGGAAAGAUGAAAAGCACUUUGGAAAGAGAGUUAAACAGUACGUGAAAUUGUUGAAAGGGAAACGAUUGAAGUCAGUCAUGCUCUUUGGUAUUUAUAUCAUUGAGUGGGGUCAACAUCAGUUUUGAGCGAUGGAUAAAGGCACUAGGAAGGUAGCACUCUCGGGUGAACUUAUAGCCUAGCGUCAUAUACAUUGUUUGGGACUGAGGAACGCAGCAUGCCUUUAUGGCCGGGAUUCGUCCACGUACAUGCUUAGGAUGUUGACAUAAUGCGCUUUAAACGACCCGUCUUGAAA
rnacentral:rRNA from 1 species